rnacentral:rRNA from 1 species
GACGAACGCUGGCGGCGUGCUUAACACAUGCAAGUCGAGCGGAUCGGCGAACGGGUGAGUAACGCGUGAGUAACUGCCCCCCUCUCUGGGAUAACAGUUGUAAACGGCUGCUAAUACCGGAUAGUGGGGUAUGACUCGCGUCCUAUCCGCUUGUUGGUGGGGUAGUGGCCUACCAAGGCGACGACGGGUAGCCGGCCUGAGAGGGCGACCGGCCACAUGGGGCUGAGAUACGGACCAAAAUCCUACGGGAGGCAGCAGUGGGGAAGAUUGCAAAAUGGGGGAAACCGUGAUGCAGAAACGCCGCGUGCGGGAGGACGGCCUUCGGGUUGUAAACCGCUUUCAGCCAGGACGCGGUAGUGGCAGAAGAAGCACCGGCUAACUACGUGCCAGCAGCCGCGGUAAUAC